rnacentral:rRNA from 1 species
GAUGAACGCUGGCGGCGUGCUUAACACAUGCAAGUCGAACGAAGCACCUUGAUUUGAUUCUUCGGAUGAAGAUCUUGGUGACUGAGUGGCGGACGGGUGAGUAACGCGUGGGUAACCUGCCUCAUACAGGGGGAUAACAGUUAGAAAUGACUGCUAAUACCGCAUAAGACCACCGCACCGCAUGGUGCAGGGGUAAAAACUCCGGUGGUAUGAGAUGGACCCGCGUCUGAUUAGGUAGUUGGUGGGGUAACGGCCUACCAAGCCGACGAUCAGUAGCCGACCUGAGAGGGUGACCGGCCACAUUGGGACUGAGACACGGCCCAAACUCCUACGGGAGGCAGCAGUGGGGAAUAUUGCACAAUGGGGGAAACCCUGAUGCAGCGACGCCGCGUGAGCGAUGAAGUAUUUCGGUAUGUAAAGCUCUAUCAGCAGGGAAGAAAAUGACGGUACCUGACUAAGAAGCACCGGCUAAAUACGUG